AAAUUUGAAACAUGACCUAAACUUGGCAGAUCUCAGUAGCCAACUAGAUUCUGACUAGACUCUGCCAUGGUACGAAUCCCCACCAUCUCUUUGGUAAAGGAUAUAUUUUUGGUAGCACUGAGUUUAUCACCUUUUGUGAAAAAAAUCGCUUAUGUCUGCACCCUCUGGACUAGACAGGAAUGCUAAGAACCAUUUAGCUGUUCUUUCAUUUCUGGUUAAUGAGGGACACCCUUUGCUCUCAUCAGUCACCAGAAUUAGUGAGAGACUUUACAUUC
rnacentral:lncRNA from 1 species